CUGGAUUCAAUCUUGGUUGCACCGGGGGUAAUGCCCCGUCCCCGCAAGGGGCGGCCAGGACGGUGCUGCAUGGCUGUCGUCAGCUCGUGCCGUGAGGUGUUGGGUUAAGUCCCCUAACGAGCGCAACCCCUAUUGCCGGUUGAACAUCCGGCGAGACUGCCGCGCACAACGCGGAGGAAGGCGGGGAUGAUGUCAAGUCAGCACGGCCCUUACGACCAGGGCAACACACACGCUACAAUGGUCGGGACAAUGAGCCGCAACACCGCGAGGUGAAGGGAAUCUCGUAAACCCGGCCUCAGUUCGGAUGGUAGGCUGCAACUCGCCUGCCUGAAGUCGGAGUUGCUAGUAACCGCCGGUCAGCACACGGCGGUGAAUACGUUCCC
rnacentral:rRNA from 1 species